CUAUUUAGUGGUGGUUGGUCGAGCCACGGCUAUCUCUCGAUUUUGUGACAGUUGUAGCGACAAAUCUGGUAAACGCUGCUAAUUUGUUUUUAAACACCCAUGUCGCUCUGUCCUUCAAUUUUAUUAUCUUUUCUUUCUCAAGACAAACCAAAUUUAACUCUAGCCCUCAACCAUUCUGUCAUUCUCAAACCUUCAGAUCCUACCAAACUUAGGUUUGUCGCUGCUACCUUGUCACAAGCACCAUUUUCCAUUCGAAAAAAGCAUUGCUUCUGCCAGAUUCGAGGUAGUCAUCGUGCUCCUCUGCUCUGUCUCUUCUGCCAGAUUUACUCGCGAUCUCCCCCUACACAGUGUGUGGUUCAAUUAGGAUGCAGCUGCACGAGAGUUCUACCACUGUCACUUUUAGCCUCGCCACAAGCACUACCUAUCAUAGGUUCAGACCAGUCUUACCUAAUCUUUGACGUCCAUGCCUGCUCCUUCAAAUCCGCUGCCAAAAGCUCCUCCUCCUUAGAGCAUUGCAGAUCCAAACUCCACGCUUAUGUUCUAAAACAAGGUAAAGCUAUGUCAUGAUAAAAAGGUACAAGAGAUGUUUUGGCCAUGAAGAAGUCAAAGAAGUAAAACAUGCUGAGCCACAAAUAGAAGGCCCACCAGCCGUAACUGCAACUUUAGGACCUUGGCAAAAGAUAACUAUUUUUGUUUGGUUUAUACUUUAACGAAUGAAAUUGUUGCAAUGUCAUUCACUAAAGCCAAAAUUCAAUGAUGAUAUGUUUAAUUUGAUAGGACUAAACUUUGGCGAUGAAGUCUUAUUCUUUCAUGCUGAGAGAUUAGCACCAACUAGGUACAUUAUCCUUCCCUAUGUCAUUACUUUUUUAUAUUGUUGUGUAAUUAUUGCUAACUGAUAUUCUUGCAAGUUUCAAUUUUACUUACAAAUAGUUACAAUAGUGUGUACACAUGUAUUGUUAGAACAAUUGUUUACAUGGUAUAAGAAAUUUCUAAUAGCUGAAUUAAUUUUUAUUUUCUAUCUUUCAGAACUAAAUAUAGACGUCAGUUAAAGGUUGAUCAAGUAAUAUGCUUUUUUCCUUAUUAAAUAAUGGUGGCAUGUGUUAAUGUUAUUGUAGUUGAUGAUGAUGAUGUAGAAACAUAUAUAUUGGCAACAACUAUGUAGUUGUAAUUGUAAUUAAAAAUGCUUGAUUAUCAGCUGUUAGCUAUGAAGUGUAGA